rnacentral:tRNA from 1 species
GCGGGAGUAGUUUAGCGGUAGAACGCCAGCUUCCCAAGCUGGAUGUCACGGGUUCGAUCCCCGUCUUGUGCUACA